GUUUCUGAGCUACAUAGAAGAGCCUUGUUGUGAUAUUCUGCAUUCACGGGAGCUCCACACAUGGUGGGAAUAAUGGAAGGGCAAAACAGAGAAUGACUGCAUAAAUUGUAUGACCUGUUUCUCCAGCUGCAUAACCAGAUUAUAUAGGCCUUUCCCUACAAGAAUGGAAAAGAACUUUUUUAGGUUCUUUUUGUUUUGGUUUGUGAUUUUUGUGAUUUUAUUUUUUUAGGGAAGUGUUUAGGGGAUUUUGUGGUGGUUUUUUGAGUUGAUGUCUUCUUGCUGGAAUCAUUCAUCUGAUUUUUUUUUGUAAAUGUGGAGUUCUCAGAAGCUGACAUUCUGAAGUGUUACAAUUUGGGAUUGCCGAGAAUGUUGUCACAACUGGCCAGCUGUCUCUUAAACUCAGUGUAAUGAACACAUACACACUUUUCUUGGAGAGGUGGAAAGCCCAAGAUGUGCAUAUGGUGUGUAACAGAAGGAUACUCUAGCUGCUUGGUAUUAUGAAUGGCAUAGCUGCUAGCAUGCUUCUUAAAUCCUAAGUGGAAAGUUUCUUACCUCCCAGGAAUUCCAUAUUACUUUUGAAUGCCCUCAUGUUGAACUCAGUGUAGUUGUUGAUGAGACCCUAUAAAGAAUGAUGUCCACUUACGUGCACAGACACCACAGUCAUCAGUUUACAGCAUGCAAGCAGCACUGGGAAUAGAAUUUAAGACCUUCGCCUCCGCAAACACAGCUGCUCAUCUGGCUAUAGGCUUUGUAGCCAGCAGAGGGAACUGAUAAACGCUCUCAUAGGGCUGCUUUAUAUAUGUUUUUCUAACCAAGAGAGGGCACUGACUCUCACUCACUUUUGAAAAGGGUCUGUUACAAGUCACCCCUCAACAGUUUCACCUGCCAUUCAAGAACAAACAUGCUUACAUUCAUCUUGCUUUUGCUAUAAAAUACGGACUUGCAUGAAGUUGUUUUAAUCACCAAAAGAUGCCCCUAGACUACAUCGUGAUAUUAAUCCCCUGCAGUGCAAUUACGAGACAUUAAAUUCAUUACACACCAAGACAAUUACAGAAACACAUCCAACAUUUCAGGAGUACAGAGAGACCAAACACAAUUGUUUACUGAUGUGUACAGAGAAUAGGCACAGUUAUUGCACAAGACCCACAAAAAGCUUCAGAACCAGGACGCACCAAUAUAUUUUUAAACACACAUCGCUCCACAACUUUUGCUGAAGGAGAAUUCUGUUAGUAUAAAUAAUAGAUCUCACUUUCUGGACGGAAUGCCACAAAAAAAGCAACAUCACUUGCACAAAACUCUAGAAAAUGUAAAUGGCAAAAGUAAGAAACUUUUGUACAUUCAAAUACAGGUACUUGUUGGUUUUAAUCAGAUAGAACCAUCUCUAACGCUUUUUGUCUUUUCUUGUUCCUUGCUACAAUAACUCAAUUGAAUCACUGCUCUUUUAGAAACUUGACUCUAGUGAAAAGUAAAAAUUAUCUCCCUGUAGAAAGAAAGAAUGCUCAGCGUAGAAUAACUGAAAGGCAAAAAUAGCAAGGGAAAAUACAGCGAUAUUUUAAAGUUUCAAGGAUAAAAUUUAAUCUUUCCUUCCCUGAGAUAUAUGGAAAGACGUACAAUAAACAGAAAUUUCUGCCUUGUAGAUAUGCUCAUGAAUGUAUAAAAAUUGUGCUACCUUCUAUGGUAGGUAGUGACAGGACAAUUUUUAGAAUCUAUUCAAUGUUUCAUACAAGACCUACAUGAAUAACUUUGCUUAAGCAGUAAAGAGAUUUUCUUUGAGCUCUUUGCUGCUACUGAGUUACCAAGACUGAAUUCUUAGUCAGAUGUUGCCCACUGUUUCUGGUUCAUAGCAGUGGACCUCAGUUUGCUUAUCCUUCCAAGAGUGAACUGGUCUCCUUUAACCACAGAGGAUAAAAAAGAGGUGGUCAUUUGGUUGAUUGAUUAUUUACCACCUCCAAGAAUGAUUGGCAAAUCCUAUUAUGGGUUUGUAAAGGGUUUCAUAGGAAGUUCAAAAGUGUUAGGAGGAAAUUACCUCUCAAGAUUUGGCACUGGAAUUCUCCCUGCUCCUUCAGCCCUAAAGAGUCUUGCAAAGACAGACCAGCUGCAAAGGGGUGUGCUUUAUAAGGCUGAAUACAAAACGAAGCAUGGAUUGAAGUGCUAGACUGAAACCUGGAAGCUAAAUCUGACUCUCUACCAUGUAUUUUCACUGUGACCAUAAGAAAAACUGUCCAUGUAUUUAAUAUCAGUAUGGUCAGAGAAAAAUGUGUUUUUGCUUCACAGAGAGGCAAAUAAAUUCAUGAAGAUCAGAAUGUCUCACAAGCAGUGGUAUUGGCAGGCCUAUGGAGAGAUAAGCAGACAGUGAUGUGUUUAUCCUGUGUGUCUAAAUACCUAGUAUAACACUUUUGACAGCAGUUGGAGUUGUACUAGUGGCUUAAGUGCCACCAGUAUAACUUAAGUGGCUAAAUGCACACUUAAAGAACCUAAGUGCAACUGCCAGGAGAAAUGGCUGAGCAUACCUGCUUAAUUCUGAACUGGUCUGUGGCUGAAAAAAUAGUACAGUCUCUACCUUUUGCUUUUUUAAAGUGUUAUGGUCAUUACUCAAAAAAAAUCUAAACUCCUUGUUCUUCUGCUUUUUCUUUUUUUUUUUUUUGAUCGCAGUUGUAGCAGUAUUUUAAGAUGACAGUAUUUUUAUCUUAGUAUCUGUAUGCGUUGAUCUUAUAAAAAGGAGUUACAGAUCAGCACAGAAGUCAAUAAAUGCAUUCCUAGACAUCUAAGUUCUCUUGGAGACCUGCUGGGUGCAGUUUCCCUUCAUCCCCUGCUGUAGAGUGAUGCUAAGCUGAAUUAUCUACUCAGCCUAAGAGAGAAAUUGCUCAGAGGAGAUUCUGAUCGUAAUUAAACACGUUCCUUUGAAUAAGGUUUUUUAAAUAUGUCCUGCAAUCCAUUUUGCAGAUGCCAGCACAUCAAAUUUCAGAGCAGGCUUUAAUAAAAGGUAUUUUGCUAUAUACACA